rnacentral:misc_RNA from 1 species
AAGUCGUAACAAGGUUUCCGUAGGUGAACCUGCGGAAGGAUCAUUACCAAAUCCAAAUACCCAACCCCUGUGAACUUGUUUUUGUCUGUCUUUGGGGAGUGAGAGGAAGUUAAAUUUUUUUCCUCCCCAUAUUUAUAACUAAACAACUGAUUUUAAACUUUUAUUGGAAUAAACUUUUAUUAUUUUUAAUAAAUGACAACUUUUAACGGUGGAUCUCUUGGCUCGUGGA